rnacentral:misc_RNA from 1 species
GAUGAAGAACGUAGUGAAAUGCGAUAAGUAAUGUGAAUUGCAGAAUUCAGUGAAUCAUCGAAUCUUUGAACGCACAUUGCGCCCGUCAGUAUUCUGGCGGGCAUGCCUGUUCGAGCGUCAUUACGCCCCUCAAGUCCCCUGUGGACUUGGUGUUGGGGAUCGGCGAGGCUGGUUUUCCAGCACAGCCGUCCCUUAAAUUAAUUGGCGGUCUCGCCGUGGCCCUCCUCUGCGCAGUAGUAAAACACUCGCAACAGGAGCCCGGCGCGGUCCACUGCCGUAAAACCCCCCAAUUUUUUAUAGUUGACCUCGAAUCAGGUAGGACUACCCGCUGAACUUAAGCAUAUCAAUAAGCGGAGUA